UACGGAGGGUGCGAGCGUUGUCCGGAAUCACUGGGCGUAAAGGGCGCGUAGGUGGCGACCCAAGUCAACGGUGAAAGCUCGACGCUCAACGUCGAGUCGGCCGUCGAUACUGGGUUGCUCGAGCACUGUAGAGGCAGAUGGAAUUCCGGGUGUAGCGGUGGAAUGCGUAGAGAUCCGGAAGAACACCGGUGGCUAAGGCGGUCUGCUGGGCAGUAGCUGACACUGAGGCGCGACAGCGUGGGGAGCAAACAGG
rnacentral:rRNA from 1 species